GGGGGUGACCAGGUUUCGACGGGGAUAGUUGAGACCAAAGCCGCAGGCCGAGCGACCCAGUGACUCGUUAAUCCAUCGGGACUAAACACAAAAGCAGACUCUUACGAGUACGCACUGGCUGCAUAGCCAGCGUCCCUGGGCAGAUGCGGCCCACAGCUUCUCAGGGGCGUAGUUAAACGGGCUGGUCAGGUUCGGGGGGACCCAGCUAAACCUGACGAGAACUAACUGGUUUCUCGCCCCAAGAUCGCCUGUCCGUUGGCGGUGGAGGGGUUAAAACUUAAAAACGGAACAAGCCUGUAGACACUUUGGGGUAAGAUCUUCGGACGCGGGUUCAAUUCCCGCCACCUCCACCA
rnacentral:tmRNA from 1 species